rnacentral:rRNA from 1 species
GAAUUUGUGUAGCAUGUCAGGUAUAAUGUAGUUAUCAGGCACUACGUUUAGUUGCUAACUCUAGUUUACAAGACGGGUUCGUCUGUAGACGAGGUAGGGGUCUAGGGGCGAGCGGGGAUGACGUUGUGUGUACGGCUAAGGCGCGGCGACCAAGAGGUGGAGGGGAGGGAGAGGAGUGAUGUCCUGCGGCGGCCCGCUUCGAGCCGAGCGCAGCCGCCGCGGCCCCAGUGAGAGGACGGAGCUCGUCGCAGCCGCCGAGCCCUACGUCGCCCGAGCCGGACACAGUGGCUGCGCUCACAGGGAGAGCUCGCCGCCGCCACCGCCUAAGUCGCCUGCGCCCGGCACCGCCGCCGCCGCCGCCACCUACGUCGCCCGAGCCGGACGCAGCCGCCGCCGCCCAGGUAGAGGAAGGAGCUUAUCGUCGCCCGAGCGCGGGGUGCUAAAUAAGCUGAGGCCGCUAAACAGUUGAAGACGAAAUCGCCGCGGCGUUGCCUCGUGAGACAGCCCGGGGAACCGCCCUAGCCGCAGGCCUAGUAGAGCGCGGAGGCGUUCCCCCUACCCUGACGAGCCCGAGUAGACGUUCUCGGGGAGCGGCGGUACGGCGGACGACGGCGACUGUGGCAGUUGCCCUCGCCUACUCGUCCUCUCUAGGACAGCUAGACUACCGCUUUCCCGCUCUAUUGGCCGAGGACAUACAAAACCUUCCAGAUGGAGCUCUAUUUAAACCUGUGGCCGUUCGAGCAGAGUCAUUUCGUUCAGCACCCUAAACCCCUAAACGUGCAAAACCAAAAGACCAAAAAUGCAUAACAGAUUUCUGAACCUCAGUAAGCAACGUCCAAUGUGGUUCAGAGAGGAAACAAACUAAAACCAAAGUCGAAACUAGCCCUCGUGGUUGGCGCUCGACCCUCUUUCGGGUUCACUCAUCGUGAAGGUGUCGUCUAACCAAUGGUUAAAUUAACAAGACUAAAAAGAAGUACACUCCACUAAAGACCGGAAACAAAGAUGAUAGUGCGCGUAUAUUCUCUUGAGCUCCUUCUUCACUUCGAGGAGUAAAAGACACUUCUUCAUGGAACUCUGACAGGCACUCCUUCUGUGCGACUUAUAGAACGAACUAAAACAAGGGGCGGGUGACGUGCGGCGACAGCUCUUGUGGAGACGAUGGAGGAGGGUUAGAGGCGGUGUUCUAAGAGGCAGGUCUAGGACCCGCUCCUUAUUUUUUUAAUCAAGAACUUCGAAGAGGUAGUACGGCCUGCCUGUUGACAUAGGCCGUGGCAGCGGUAGCGAAUACCUCAAGGUGUGGUAACGGGUCAACAUGCUCUCGUACAAGUUAGAAGAGGUAAGUUCUGAUACGUUCACCACUUGAGACGGUUUGUUCUUCUAUACUCCUAUACCGUAUAUACGGGGUAUUCCAUCGAUAUACCAUUAAGUACAUAACAUCAAACCUAAUGCCAGUGUGAAACUUCCCAUUCAUCUACUACGAGUUACUGUAUUGGACGUGACUAGAAGUGUCAGUAUAGUAGACUAUCUUCAAAUAACUUAAAGUAAAUUUAAAACAACAUACAAUAGGUACUACAUUCACCUCUAUCCUUCAAUUUGUUUUAAUUUUUAACGUCGUGUUUCCCCUACAGGUGGUUACUAAACUGUACUAUUCUACAAUCACUUCGUACCGUUUGAUACUGUAAUCGUUUUGAAUAUAAAUGUAUAUAAGUAUAUAUACUUAAAACCUUUACACGUAACGUGCAUAUAGCAUGAAGAGAAGUGAUAAGUUUUAUGAACAUGGGUGAUACUAAAGUAAAAAAUAAUAAAAGGAACUUCCUCAUAAUAUAAUUACAAUAAACAACAGGUGGAACUAGGAAGUGACGAUAAAAAGGAUGAUUCGUUGAAACGUACCUCAAUUCUAGUAAAGCAUUCUAAGACUAUACAAAAAGUUUAAGCGAAGGAAAUACGUACUUGGAUAGUAGUUCUAAAUCUGGAGAAUAUACCACGUACAUACGACGACAUUCUUCUUUACAUUAUAACAGGAGUAGUUAAAGAAAGAAUCGUACGUGUUACACAAUGUUGUAGUUAAAGUAACCAAACCUCUUCCACUAUUUGUACGUUGGCAAGAACUACUAUACUUACGAAGUAACCUCGUUAUAACCGGAAACAAACGUGUAAUCACAAGGUAAUACAUCAUUUUCUACACCAGACCAUCGGAAAGAAGUAACAAUGUCAAUAACAGUUUACCACCUUAUAACCACGGACCAUCGAGACCAAGUACAUUCGUACUGCUUUGUAGCAUUUUAGUAUAAAGAACAACAUAGUACUCAGUAUACUUUUCUUCCAAUCCGCUAAAUACAAAAAUCAAAAAGAUAACGAGCACACAAUUCCUAGAUCCGUAUGUAAAGUCUAUAUUUAAACCCGUAUUUAACAGUGUUUAUCUACCCACCGCACCCAGUUCCAAGUCUUUGGGUCCCGUAGUACAAAGAAAGCUCGGUAUACUCCUCUUGAUGUAGGUACCAUCACCGAUGUUAUAUUAGUCUCUCGGUACAUGUACAACUAACAAUACUUUAGUACCCUACCUUAGAACUAGAGGCCACAGGUCUUUAGAUAAAAGAGUCUCUUUUUUAGCUACGCUCAAAUAUAACGACUACAAAGCAGUGCGUGGAAUUAAAGAAGAAGCCUAAUACUUUAUAAAUCCAAUUGUUCUACGGUACAUUCAACCCAACUCUAGACGAUAUGUCACUGAAAGAAAACAAGUUUAUAAAGUAAAAAAAAGUAAAAGUACGACAGCUUCAUAAACAUGAACACUAAAGGACUUCAAAACACUUUAUAACUUCCUAUAGAACCUUGCUGUUUCAAGGGUCAGAAGUACGAUCCACUAUCCUGUGACCGACGACUUCAACGAGUAACGGAGCGUAUUUUCUUACCUUAGAGGAAUAAAAAACGAUACAAAACGUGUACAACUAAUACUACCGUAACAAAACUUGUAAGAUAGGGUACAACUAUUUUUCAUCUACGAAACCAUACGGGAGAAACAAGAUCGAACCAACCAACUGACCAACAACAAGAUCCACAACAACUCUACUGGAUUCGAUUGUUGUUAAACUCGAACGGAGGUACCACAAACUAAUAUAAAUCCACCUGUUUUAGGGGGCCACUAUUAGGGUUUUUCUUUUAAACCGUAACUGCGUCCCGCAUCUCGCAACCACUACGGACUUUUCUUUUAAACCGUACCGUGCCCUCCAUUCCGCAACCACUACGGGUUUUUGUUCUAAACCGCACUACGCCCUCCAUCUCGCAACGUACGCCGUCGUUUCUAUGUUGGUACAAUUUUUUUAAGUUUGGUAGCUGCCCUUCAUCUCACAACACACGCCGUCCUUUCUAUGUUGGUACAAGUUUUUAAGUUUGGUAGCC